AUAAAGUCUCUAUUUAGAGGCACACAUGCAAUUUUUAAAAAUAAAU
rfam:TPA: Bos taurus chromosome 1, whole genome shotgun sequence.